rnacentral:lncRNA from 1 species
GAUGUUAAGUAUUAAGUAAACAGUCUAUCAUUUUGAAACCUUAGCAGCAAACAUAAUAUACACAGAGGUUAAACACAUUCUUGCCAUCUGUUAAAUAUAAAUGCAUGUAGGUAAAUAUAUAUACAUCCUUCAGUAAACUGUAAGAGCACAAAACUAGACAACAGAUCUUCACCAUAUUCAACUUACUUGAUCUGAAAAUAAUAUACUUUUCCAACUUUCAACACAUAUACUGAUUUCUUAAUUCACCUUACAAAAUAAAUUUACACAAUUCAACCUGUAUUAUUUCAGGGCUAAAUAUUAGUUGCAUUAAUUUAUUAAACAGGGACAUCAUUAUAAGGGGGCUUAGAAAUUUUUUCUCAAGUAGAAAAGGAGAACUGAACAUGAUUUCCUUACCUUAAACUGAAUUGUUCCUUGGCAUUCCCUAAUGAUAAUGUACGGCAGAUAAUUAACCAUAAAGUACAUUCUGGGACUCAAAGGACUUUGUCUUUGACAAAAUCAUAU